GAUUUCUGGCUUUAUGUUCGAAAAGCCAAAACCAAUUUCAUGGGUUUAGCUUAGAGAACUCCGAUACGAUGUAGGCAAUAAAAAUUCUACCUGCCGAUGUUCUGACUUCAUUUUCGUUGUUUUCGAAGGGAUUAGGAGCAGCGGUUCCGAAAUUUAAGUGAGAUGAUGAAAAAUAUUAUUUACCGAAAAAAAAGAAUCGAUAGACUCGUUGUUGAAAUCGAUUUUUCGCAGUUUUAAUGGCUGGUGAAGUAUUCACAAGUGUUUUGCAUUAAUAGCUUUGGAGCCUUUUUUAACCUAGACGGUGUGAAUGGGAAGGCCAUUAUAUUUCCAGAAUUUGAUUUCUGUUUAAUUGAUUGACGAGGCAACAGCCGGAAGGAAAGACCCGUAACAUACGUUUAGGGGAAAUGCAAGAAGUUUAGCUAAAAAGAAUUGU